rnacentral:rRNA from 1 species
UACGAAGGGUGCAAGCGUUAAUCGGAAUUACUGGGCGUAAAGCGCGCGUAGGUGGUUCAGUAAGUUGGAUGUGAAAUCCCCGGGCUCAACCUGGGAACUGCAUCCAAAACUGCUGAGCUAGAGUACGGUAGAGGGUGGUGGAAUUUCCUGUGUAGCGGUGAAAUGCGUAGAUAUAGGAAGGAACACCAGUGGCGAAGGCGACCACCUGGGCUAAUACUGACACUGAGGUGCGAAAGCGUGGGGAGCAAACAGG